CUACAACUCAACUGAUAGAACUUGCCAUAAAAUGGAAGACAGAAUGUGUGGGGCUCACUGUAAUAGCUUUAACAGCUGUGAAGACUGCGCGAAACACUGCUGCACAUCUACGUGCCUUAAACAGCACAUACCAAUAACGCCUCUUUUUAUACCUCCCUAUAUAUUGAGCGCAGCUCUUAGGCGCCCGUUCAUACGGCGAGCGUCGGCGUCCCUCGUAACCGAGCCAACGAGCACAGCGAAGGGUAAAAGACGGAACGCGGAGCGUAGCGGGGGAUGAAAGACGGCGACAGCGAAGAGAACGCGAGGAGGAAAGUGGAGGAACCAUGA